rnacentral:rRNA from 1 species
GGUUAAGUGAAUAAGGGCGCACGGUGGAUGCCUUGGCACUAGGAGCCGAUGAAGGACGGGACUAACACCGAUAUGCUUUGGGGAGCUGUAAGUAAGCUAUGAUCCAGAGAUUUCCGAAUGGGGGAACCCAAUAUCUUUUAUAGGAUAUUACUUUUCAGUGAAUACAUAGCUGAUUAGAGGUAGACGCAGAGAACUGAAACAUCUUAGUACCUGCAGGAAGAGAAAGAAAAUUCGAUUCCCUGAGUAGCGGCGAGCGAAACGGGAAGAGCCCAAACCAACAAGCUUGCUUGUUGGGGUUGUAGGACUCCAAUAUGGUAGUCUGUUAGUAUAGUUGAAGGAUUUGGAAAAUUCCGCUAAAGAGGGUGAAAGCCCCGUAGACGAAAUGCUAACAACACCUAGGAGGAUCCUGAGUACGGCGGAACACGAGAAAUUCCGUCGGAAUCCGCGGGGACCAUCCCGCAAGGCUAAAUACUCCCUAGUGACCGAUAGUGAACCAGUACCGUGAGGGAAAGGUGAAAAGCACCCCGGAAGGGGAGUGAAAUAGAUCCUGAAACCGUGUGCCUACAACAAGUCAAAGCUCGUUAAUGAGUGAUGGCGUGCCUUUUGUAGAAUGAACCGGCGAGUUACGAUUGCAUGCGAGGUUAAGUCGAAGAGACGGAGCCGCAGCGAAAGCGAGUCUGAAUAGGGCGAAUGAGUAUGUAGUCGUAGACCCGAAACCAUGUGAUCUACCCAUGUCCAGGUUGAAGGUGCGGUAAAACGCACUGGAGGACCGAACCCACGUACGUUGAAAAGUGCGGGGAUGAGGUGUGGGUAGCGGAGAAAUUCCAAACGAACUUGGAGAUAGCUGGUUCUCUCCGAAAUAGCUUUAGGGCUAGCCUCGGAAUUGAGAAUGAUGGAGGUAGAGCACUGUUUGGACUAGGGGCCCAUCUCGGGUUACCUCCGUAGUCGAAAGGGAAACAGCCCAGACCACCAGCUAAGGUCCCAAAAUAUAUGUUAAGUGGAAAAGGAUGUGGGGUUGCACAGACAACUAGGAUGUUGGCUUAGAAGCAGCCACCAUUUAAAGAGUGCGUAAUAGCUCACUAGUCGAGUGACCCUGCGCCGAAAAUGUACCGGGGCUAAACAUAUUACCGAAGCUGUGGACUACACCAUUAGGUGUAGUGGUAGGAGAGCGUUCUAAGGGCGUUGAAGGUCGAUCGUGAGGACGGCUGGAGCGCUUAGAAGUGAGAAUGCCGGUAUGAGUAGCGAAAGACAGGUGAGAAUCCUGUCCACCGUAUGACUAAGGUUUCCUGGGGAAGGCUCGUCCGCCCAGGGUUAGUCGGGACCUAAGCCGAGGCCGAUAGGCGUAGGCGAUGGACAACAGGUUGAUAUUCCUGUACCAGUUGUUUUUGUUUGAGCAAUGGAGGGACGCAGUAGGCUAAGGAAUGCAUGCGAUUGGAAGUGCAUGUCCAAGCAAUGAGUCUUGAGUAGAGUUAAAUGCUUUACUCUUUAAGGACAAGUUGUGACGGGGAGCGAAAUAAUAGUAGCGAAGUUCCUGAUGUCACACUGCCAAGAAAAGCUUCUAGUGAGAAAAUAACUGCCCGUACCGUAAACCGACACAGGUAGUCGAGGAGAGUAUCCUAAGGUGAGCGAGCGAACUCUCGUUAAGGAACUCGGCAAAAUGACCCCGUAACUUCGGGAGAAGGGGUGCUGACGACCGUCAGCCGCAGUGAAUAGGCCCAAGCGACUGUUUAUCAAAAACACAGGUCUCUGCAAAAUCGUAAGAUGAAGUAUAGGGGCUGACGCCUGCCCGGUGCUGGAAGGUUAAGAGGAUGGGUUAGCUUCGGCGAAGCUCAGAAUUGAAGCCCCAGUAAACGGCGGCCGUAACUAUAACGGUCCUAAGGUAGCGAAAUUCCUUGUCGGGUAAGUUCCGACCCGCACGAAAGGCGUAACGAUUUGG